UGGGAAUGCCUAUGAGACUGGCCGGCUGGAGGCUGGUAGAGGGAAGCGGAAUUUCUGGUGUAGCGGUGAAAUGCGUAGAUAUCAGAAGGAAGGCCGGUGGCGAAGGUGACUUCCUGGAACACUCCUGACUCUGAGAGACGAAAGCGUGGUGAGCAAACAGGAUUAGAUACCCUGGUAGUCCGCGCCCUAAACGAUGAAUACUAGAUGUUUGGUACCUAGCGUACUGAGAGUCGUAGCUAACGCGAUAAGUAUUCCGCCUGGGAAGCACGGCCGCAAGGUUAAAACUCAAGGGAAUUGACGGGGGCCCGCACAAGCGGUGGAGCAUGUGGUUUAAUUCGAUACAACGCGAAGAAACCUUACCUGGGCUUGACAUGUCCGGAAUUCUGCAGAGAUGCGGGAGUGCCCUUCGGGGAAUCGGAACACAGGUGCUGCAUGGCUGUCGUCAGCUCGUGUCGUGAGAUGUUGGGUUAAAUCCCGCAACGAGCGCAACCCUUGUCCUUAGUUGCCAGCGGUUCGACCGGGCACUCUAGGGAGUCUGCCGGUGACAAACCGGAGGAAGGUGGGGAUGGCGUCAAGUCCUCAUGGCCUUUAUGUCCAGGGCUACACACGUGCUACAAUGGCGCGUACAGAGGGAAGCCAAGCCGCGAGGUGGAGCAGACCCCAGAAAGCGCGUCGUAGUUCGGAGAGCAGUCUGCAACUCGACUGCAUGAAGUCGGAAUUAAUAGUAAUCGCGGAUCAU
rnacentral:rRNA from 1 species